rfam:Lysinibacillus sp. BF-4 contig00006, whole genome shotgun sequence.
UAAUAUGCGUUGACGAGGAGAAGUAAGUAUUGCAAGCUCUUUAGAGAGGACCACCACUGGCUGAAAGUGGUCUGAGCCUAGGUAAAACUGAAAUGCACCUUCGAGCAAUUUAAUCGAAAUAAAGUAGAUUAAAUCGGUUCGCUACCGUUACUAGCGCUUAAAGAUGAAGAAUUAUUCUUCAAAUCAGAGUGGAACCACGUCAUUAAACGUCUCUGUC